rnacentral:rRNA from 1 species
UACGGGGGGGGGCACGCGUUGUUCGGAAUUACUGGGCGUAAAGGGCGUGUAGGCGGCCAACUAAGUCCGACGUGAAAUCCCCAGGCUUAACCUGGGAACUGCGUCGGAUACUGGAUGGCUUGAAUCCGGGAGAGGGAUGCAGAAUUCCAGGUGUAGCGGUGAAAUGCGUAGAUAUCUGGAGGAAUACCGGUGGCGAAGGCGGCAUCCUGGACCGGCAUUGACGCUGAAGCGCGAAAGCUAGGGGAGCAAACGGG